UACGGAGGAUGCAAGCGUUAUCCGGAAUGAUUGGGCGUAAAGCGUCCGCAGGUGGCUAUGUAAGUCUGCUGUUAAAGAGUGAGGCUCAACCUCAUAAGAGCAGUGGAAACUACAUGGCUAGAGUGCGUUCGGGGCAGAGGGAAUUCCUGGUGUAGCGGUGAAAUGCGUAGAUAUCGGGAAGAACACCAGUGGCGAAGGCGCUCUACUGGGCCACAACUGACGCUGAGGGACGAAAGCUAGGGGAGCGAAUGGG
rnacentral:rRNA from 1 species